GGAGCACAGAGCAAUCUGUGUGACUGCGUACCUUUUGUAUAAUGGGUCAGCGACUUAUAUUCUGUAGCAAGGUUAACCGAAUAGGGGAGCCGAAGGGAAACCGAGUCUUAACUGGGCGUUAAGUUGCAGGGUAUAGACCCGAAACCCGGUGAUCUAGCCAUGGGCAGGUUGAAGGUUGGGUAACACUAACUGGAGGACCGAACCGACUAAUGUUGAAAAAUUAGCGGAUGACUUGUGGCUGGGGGUGAAAGGCCAAUCAAACCGGGAGAUAGCUGGUUCUCCCCGAAAGCUAUUUAGGUAGCGCCUCGUGAAUUCAUCUCCGGGGGUAGAGCACUGUUUCGGCAAGGGGGUCAUCCCGACUUACCAACCCGAUGCAAACUGCGAAUACCGGAGAAUGUUAUCACGGGAGACACACGGCGGGUGCUAACGUCCGUCGUGAAGAGGGAAACAACCCAGACCGCCAGCUAAGGUCCCAAAGUCAUGGUUAAGUGGGAAACGAUGUGGGAAGGCCCAGACAGCCAGGAUGUUGGCUUAGAAGCAGCCAUCAUUUAAAGAAAGCGUAAUAGCUCACUGGUCGAGUCGGCCUGCGCGGAAGAUGUAACGGGGCUAAACCAUGCACCGAAGCUGCGGCAGCGACACUGUGUGUUGUUGGGUAGGGGAGCGU
rnacentral:rRNA from 1 species